AUACCUCUCGCCUUGUCUUCUAGGUACCUCUGUGGUAGGCCCGCUAUGCCGUUCCGAGUCUGUUUUAUGCGGUCCAAACCUCUUGCUGAAUCCUUGACCACAGUUGCAAUUCUGCUCAAAGAGGAGAGACACCCGGAUGAAAGAUAUGGUUUUCUUCCCCCGAGAGGACAUCCUAGAAUUUCCUCAAAUUCUUCAAUGGUUGGUACUAAUUGGAAGUCUCCGAAUGUGAAGCAUUUCAAAGGC
rnacentral:lncRNA from 1 species